CCAGCCCCUAACUCGGCCGGGCCUGCAGAUAGUGCCUCCGUUCGCCCUUCCAGUCAGCUGCGGCCUAACCACCUAACGACAGACAGGCUGAUUUCUAACAUCACAGGUUCGCGUCUAAGAAUGUCGACCCCGAACACAGAACAGGCGGGCCCAUAAGCCCACUGCUCUUUGCUGCGGUGCAGCACUCAGGAGACUGAUAUCGCUCAAGACAUCACCUGUUUAUCAAGUUAAAACUUACUGGAAAUGUUUACUCAUCCAGUGGGACACUCGUGGAGCAAGUUACCUGCAAUCCAAGGUUUCACUGUACGUGAGUUGCAAAUAUUUUCUCCUACUCUGACUUGUGCUCUGUCUAAGCAGUCUUUUGAAGAUUAGAAGCUGUUCAUUUUGGUGAAGUCCAAAUAAUUAAUUUUUUAUUUUAUGGAUUAUCCUUUUGGUGUCUCACCUAAGAAAUCUUUGCUCACUCUCAUGUCAUAAAUAUUUCCUCCUAUGUUUUCUGCUAGAAAUAUUACAAUUUUUUGUCUAUGUUUAGGCCUAAGAGGACACCGGGGGCCUGGCAGGCAACAGGGCCCUGGCCAUCAGCUCCAACAGGGCGCCCCGCUCAUGCACAGACCAGCUACAGUGCCCCAGAGAGAACCCCCGGGGUGGGCAGGACCGGGCGCUCCCAGACAGGCACUCACACAGUGCGCUAUCUCAGCCCAAGCCCCCUUCCCUGAACCUCAGAGCCUGAACUCCUCGGAAAGGUGUCUUCCACGGUUCGGCACUAAGGGGAAACAGCCACGUUGCCCCUUAAGAUCAGUGAAACUGCUCACACUCUUCAAACCAGAACUUCAGAGCGCUCACUCUGCCAGACCCGAGCUGCCCUCCGACGACAGAUAUUAAAACAGUAGAGGCAAAGCCCUUCGGAGCACACAGAGACAGAGAGGUGACGCGCGGUCCGGCCUUCGGGAUGAACUUCCAGGGUGAGAAGCAGCCACGGAGCCUGAGACCCCAGGGGGUGCGCUGAAUGGGCCCAUUCAUGCCUCAAUCCGAAGAAGCCUCUGAAACUGCUUGCUGUGACAUCUACUGAAAUUCCCUUCCAGGCCCUUGCAGACUGUCUCUACACACCCUUCUGUCUACCUACUCAGACUUCGGGCCAGGGACCGAGUUCUUAACUUGAGUCCAGUUUAGGUGGCUGGCACAAAGUACAUGUCCAACAGCCACUCACCGUGACUCGCAUCUCUGGGAAAAGACACCUGUGGAUAUUACCAAUCAUCUCAAAAGGUUCAACGUCCAUUUAAAACAAAGAUACA
rnacentral:lncRNA from 1 species